UUCUCUUUCCAUCUGUUCUUAUCAGCUUAAUAUCUGAUACGAGUCCUAUUUGGACUCAAGAUAUUAAACUAAUUUUUGCCAUUUGGCGCCGUGAAGGGGCUUGCUCCUCCGGCGCCGCGGGUUGUCCGGCGUUGCACUGCUGCCGGGUUCGGCCCAAGACCC
rnacentral:snRNA from 1 species